UGUGCGUGCAAAUGUCCCUUGAAUGUGAAUAAGUCUAAAUUUAAACAGUUAUAUUAUAUAGAGCGAUCGUGUCUCUUUAGGGCGCUUGGAGGAAACCACGCAAUUCAUAUGAAUUACUUUGGAGAUGUUUUUUUGCGAUUAACUUUUUGAAACGUGAACAUCUUUGAUGAAUCUUUUCAUCGUAGGUACAUAAAUCUCUCAGAUUUCAUUAAAAUAUCUCCGCUUUUCUUUCGAAGAUGAGCGAAAGUCUAGAUGGUUUGGAGCAUCUUAAGGGUGAGUGAUGGCAGAAUUCAAAUUGUUUUGGGGGAAUUAGAAAAUUAAUUAGAAAAUAUGGCGGUAUGUUCUUAUUUUUACCAGCUUCUGCAAACGUGUAUGGUGUCUGGCUUUGGUACCUCACUGUGACUGACUUCAGAUAAGAACAAAGUUUAAAUUGUAAGAAGGGUUGCUUAUAAGAGCAUACAGUACAUCUGAAACUGCUGAGGCUGGGAAGGUUUUUGACUAUAUUUCUGACCAGAUCAGCUAUAGAAGACAAACUGAAAUCUGAGUGCAGAGACAAGCAAAGAAAUACUACUGACUAGGCUGUGCCCAGGUCUCCGGAACCUGCGACGACGCUCAGCUCCAUUGGCCCUUAGUCUGCGGCUUCGGAUCCACCAGCUCUGCCUCCAUCAGUCGGUCCCCAGAUGUCGGCAGCCACACCAUCUACAUCUUGGCUCCUCCCUCCCUCGACUCCGCCAUGUGUUGUCAGCACUGGGAUGCUCUGGGUCUGUGCCAUGUGCCAAACUCUAUCUAAGCCGCCAGGGCAUCAUCGUCAUCCUCCCAUCACCAUCCCUUCGCCACAUCCUGUCAUCAUCCCGCACUUUUGCCUCUCACCAUCCCUACGGCAUCUCCUCGUCCACCUCCAAAACCCCCUCCAUCCCUCCCUAUUCUGUUGCUUUGAACUUUAUCAUCUUCAGUCUUUGCACACACAUCUAUUCACUUCUGCACUUUGUUUUUCAGUAAAUUUUUUUUUUUUCCUUCAGAAAAUUGCAUUGUAAUUUUUAUUUAUUCAUCGAUGUAAAAUUCUUUACUUUUCAGUAA